ensembl:lncRNA
CUGAAACUAUGAAUUUUAUAUACAGGUCAGGAGAUGCAUACCAAAGAAAUAAACAGUGAACUGGACCAUAAUGACAGCUAACGUUCAAACGUCCUUGAAUUUUUUAAAUUUCUAUCCAAACACAUUUUGUCAUUUUGAAUGGGUUGGGGUUUUUUGUAUAAAAUUGGAGCAAUUCUUUCCUGUAAUGAAAUUUUGCAAAGUAGGUACAAACUAUACCUCAUUAUUAUAAGCUGCAUCAAUAACUUGUCUCUGAAAGAUACUUAUGUUCUUUCCCUUUAUUUUUUUAAACUCUUUAAAUUACAGCUUUGGAACAUUAUAAGAAUAUAAUUUGAUGCAACUUAAGAACUCAGAGUAAUAACUACUUUCUGAAAAACAGAUUUAAUAAUGCUGUAUUUAUCUGUAGACAAGAUGGUGGUUAAGCUGUUAAUGAAAUGCAGAUGGUCCUGUUUUAAAGUACAAGUUCUUCUUUAGUCAAUAUGCUAAGCUUUAGGGGAGUUUUAGUAUAAUCUCUAAAGAUUGAAAAUGAUAUAGUAUUUGUAAAAUGAGUGAAUUGUGAAAGAAACCUUUAUUGUUUAUGUGUCGUUGAAGAAUUUACUAGGAAAAUUAGUCAAGGGCUCUCGGGGGACUUAGCAUUUUCCUACAGAUAAGAAAGAAGUGACUAUGGAGAGCUGUCUGGUAUUCUGGAUGAAGAAGAAUGAAAAUAACACUGAACAAAGUGCUCUUCUGGAGAACCAACCUGAAGGCAAGAUCCAGUUCUGGGAAAGAAGAACGCUGAUUGGAACAGGAAUAGAGGAAAGAAACAAGGAUAAUCAGGGAAGGAGGAGAGACACUGCAAGAGAUUGGAAUGUUCAGUCUAAAAGAAUGAAAGCUAAACACAGAACAUCAGAAUUUUUAAACAGCAGGCAAUUGGGUGUCAACUUUCUCAACUGUUCCUGAACAAAUUUUUGUCUGGAAAUAGUAAGAUGAUUUCUGCCUAUCACAGAUUCUGAAACAUACUUUUGAUGAGAGAAGGAACUAAGUUCCCAAUCAAUUAAGAUACCAGUAGAUGAACAGGAUGACACAUCAUGUGCUUUUGUGAUAGCAGAGACUUGAUAUGAUGAGACAGUUUUCCCUUACGGUCUAAAAUCAAGAAGUAAAUUAUUAUAAUUUUAAAAACUUAGUAAAAUAUACACAUUGAUUGGAGCAGCAAGUUCAAGGCACAGAACAAAUAACUCAGAUCUGUUAAAAUAUCUUACUCAGCCCACCCAACAAAAAGUCUGAAUUAAGCUUUUUCAGUAUUAAAACCUAAUAAUACCUUCAGUUCUCUGAAAAGUUGUAACUGAUCUGGCUAGGCUGUAGUUUUUGGCAAAUUAUUUUGCUGAUUGAAAGUUUCUCUUAUUUUUGUAU